UACGAAGGGGGCUAGCGUUGCUCGGAAUCACUGGGCGUAAAGGGUGCGUAGGCGGGUCUUUAAGUCAGGGGUGAAAUCCUGGAGCUCAACUCCAGAACUGCCUUUGAUACUGAGGAUCUUGAGUUCGGGAGAGGUGAGUGGAACUGCGAGUGUAGAGGUGAAAUUCGUAGAUAUUCGCAAGAACACCAGUGGCGAAGGCGGCUCACUGGCCCGGUACUGACGCUGAGGUGCGAAAGCGUGGGGAGCAACAGG
rnacentral:rRNA from 1 species